CAAAAAGGAAGGAGAAAGAGAAGGACGAGGAAAAUGAGGAGAAGGAGAGGAGAAGGAGAAGGGAGAGAGAAAGGAAGGAGAGGACACAACCACCAUCACCCAACCCCAUGCAAGAAAAUUGGAGAAAUAAUCACAAACUAAACUUUUAAAGAAAUUCCCAGAAAAAUGAAAUAAGUUAAUCAAAACUUAAGGAAAAUAAAGGAACCAAAUAAAUAAUCUAGGUCCUGGAGCAGAAAGAGCCUUGGAAUUGAGAGGAGAAUGUGUGGACUCUAAGACUGGCUUUGCUGCUACUCAUCAGAUGUGGGAAUGGCAAUCUGUCCAGUCACACAGCUGAAUAAUGGAGAAUGCAGGAAACAAAUUGAAGCAGGCUACCUGUAGAACCUGGAGAAACAGGACUUGGAAUAAAGUUGCUGGAAAAUUGACUCUUUCUCUGAAUGAGGAGUUCACCAAAUAUGUGUAUCAGGGCCUUUCAUGGAAUCUUCUUCAACAUUUCAGCUACUCAUGAGAAUAUUAUAAGGUUAACUUUGAUGUAUUCUAAUUGUUCAAAUAUUUAUGCAGUUUGCAAAGACAUGCAAAAAAUAACAUAGGAUAAUAAUAGGAAUAAUAA